rnacentral:lncRNA from 1 species
AUGUUCAAAAUUUAUUUCUCUUUGUCUCUUCUAUCUCUUGCUUUCAAUUCUCUUCAAAGCUUAAAUCUGUCAUCCCCCAUUUCUCCUUCGUCUUCAUUUCUCCUACCUCUGCUACUCUCAAAAGAUCUGAUUAUUGCUAGAGAAUUUUAUGGUGGUCCGAGUUGUAUCGUUGAUGGCGGAGGUUUGCUGCGAAAGUUGCUGGUUCACAGCAGCAAUCUCAUGCUGAGAGGCUUAAAAGGAUGA